rnacentral:rRNA from 1 species
CAGCAGCCACGGUAAUACGUAGGGGGCUAGCGUUGCUCGGAAUCACUGGGCGUAAAGGGUGCGUAGGCGGGUCUUUAAGUCAGGGGUGAAAUCCUGGAGCUCAACUCCAGAACUGCCUUUGAUACUGAAGAUCUUGAGUUCGGGAGAGGUGAGUGGAACUGCGAGUGUAGAGGUGAAAUUCGUAGAUAUUCGCAAGAACACCAGUGGCGAAGGCGGCUCACUGGCCCGAUACUGACGCUGAGGCACGAAAGCGUGGGGAGCAAACAGGAUUAGAUACCCCGGUAGUCCCUGUCUCUUAUAC